rnacentral:rRNA from 1 species
GGUGGAUUAGUGGCGAACGGGUGAGUAACACGUGGGCAAUCUGCCCUUCACUCUGGGACAAGCCCUGGAAACGGGGUCUAAUACCGGAUAACACUCUGUCCCGCAUGGGACGGGGUUAAAAGCUCCGGCGGUGAAGGAUGAGCCCGCGGCCUAUCAGCUUGUUGGUGGGGUAAUGGCCUACCAAGGCGACGACGGGUAGCCGGCCUGAGAGGGCGACCGGCCNCACUGGGACUGAGACACGGCCCAGACUCCUACGGGAGGCAGCAGUGGGGAAUAUUGCACAAUGGGCGAAAGCCUGAUGCNGCGACGCCGCGUGAGGGAUGACGGCCUUCGGGUUGUAAACCUCUUUCAGCAGGGAAGAAGCGAAA